ACAACUUUAAACAAUGGAUCUCUUGGCUCUUGCAUCGAUGAAGAACGCAGUAAAGUGCGAUAUGUAGUGCGAUUUGCAUGAAUCUGUGAGUCAUCUAAUCUUUGAACGCAACUUGCGCCUAAUAAGGCAUGUCUGUUUGAGUACCGCAA
rnacentral:rRNA from 1 species